UGCUUGUCAAUUAGUGAAAUGAAUUUGUAGCCGAUGUUUGUGCUGACGUUCUUGCUGUAUGGUGGGUUGUACCAGAGUAUGUUAUUUCUAAGUCUGUUUUUCCGUUUCGUAGUAGCGUUUGGGUCAUAUUUCAGCGUGUAAUGAUAUCCAUUUUCGUCAAGUGCUUUUUGGUAUGGAGGGAUUGCUUGGUCGAAUGAUGCUCUGUCGGAUGAUAAGGAUGAAAGGCGUUUGUUAAUGGUAUCGGGUGUUGCUUUAGUAAUGGCUAGUCCGUCGUCGCGAUAGAGUCCUAUGUUAGUAAUGAUGUGUUGCAGUUGUGAGAGUAGAUAGCUUCCUACAAGUUCGCAUGUUUCGGCGCCGUCGAAGCUGCCCAUUGUCACGUCGAAUGUGGAGUUGUAUUUCUUUUGCCAUGGUUAUUGGUUGUGAAUGAGGUAUGAAUUCUUGGCAUGUAUGAUAAUGUUUCUCUCUUGGUUUUCUCUGCGUUGA